GAUGAAGAACUUAGCGAAAUGCGAUACUUGGUGUGAAUUGCAGAAUCCCGUGAACCAUCGAGUCUUUGAACGCAAGUUGCGCCCGAAGCCAUUAGGCCGAGGGCACGCCUGCCUGGGCGUCACACGUCGUUGCCCCCCCAUCUACUCCUUCGGGAUUGCGGGGGGCGGAUGAUGGCCUCCCGUGCGCCUCGCCGCGCGGUUGGCAUAAAUGCCAAGUCCUCGGCGACGCACGCCACGACAAUCGGUGGUUGCGAAACCUCGGUUGCCCGUCGUGUGCGGUCGUCGCGCAUCGAGGGCUCGAAAAAAUUGCCGGGUUCCGGCUCGGCUUUCAACGCGACCCCAGGUCAGGAGGGGUUACCCGCUGAAUUUAAGCAUAUCAAUAAGCGGAGGA
rnacentral:misc_RNA from 1 species